CAGUAGCCGCGGUAAAACGGAGGGUGCAAGCGUUAAUCGGAAUUACUGGGCGUAAAGCGUGCGUAGGCGGUUUGUUAAGUCUGUUGUGAAAUCCCCGGGCUCAACCUGGGAAUGGCAAUGGAUACUGGCAAGCUAGAGUGUGUCAGAGGAUGGUGGAAUUCCCGGUGUAGCGGUGAAAUGCGUAGAGAUCGGGAGGAACAUCAGUGGCGAAGGCGGCCAUCUGGGACAACACUGACGCUGAGGCACGAAAGCGUGGGGAGCAAACAGGAUUAGAUACCCGCGUAGUCCCUGUCUCUUAUAC
rnacentral:rRNA from 1 species